rnacentral:rRNA from 1 species
AUUGAACGCUGGCGGAAUGCUUUACACAUGCAAGUCGAGCGGCAGCGCGGCCUUCGGGCUGGCGGCGAGCGGCGAACGGGUGAGUAAUGCAUCGGAACAUGCCCAGUCGUGGGGGAUAACACUUCGAAAGAAGUGCUAAUACCGCAUACGUCCUGAGGGGGAAAGCGGGGGAUCGCAAGACCUCGCGCGAUUGGAGUGGCCGAUGUCAGAUUAGCUAGUUGGUGGGGUAAAGGCCUACCAAGGCGACGAUCUGUAGCUGGUCUGAGAGGAUGAUCAGCCACACUGGGACUGAGACACGGCCCAGACUCCUACGGGAGGCAGCAGUGGGGAAUUUUGGACAAUGGGGGCAACCCUGAUCCAGCCAUUCCGCGUGAGUGAAGAAGGCCUUCGGGUUGUAAAGCUCUUUCGGCAGGAACGAAACGGUGGGCUCUAACAUAGUCCGCUAAGGACGGUACCUGAAGAAGAAGCACCGGCUAACUACGU